AAAGAAACUAACAAGGAUUCCCCUAGUAACUGCGAGUGAAGCGGGAAAGGCUCAAAUUUAAAAUCUGAUGGYUUUGRUCAUCCGAGUUGUAAUCUAGAGAAGUGUCUUCCGNNCCUGACCAUGCAUAAGUCUCCUGGAANGGAGCGUCAUAGAGGGUGAAAUCCCGUCUUUGGCAUGGAACCUCCCGGGGCUUNUGUGAUGCRCUCUGAAGAGUCGAGUUGUUUGGGAAUGCNGCUCAAAAUGGGUGGUGAACUCCRUCUAAAGCUAAACAUUGRCGAGAGACCGAUAGCGAACAAGUUCCGUGAGGGAAAGAUGAAAAGCACUUUGGAAAGAGAGUGAAACAGUACGUGAAAUUGUUGAAAGGGAAACGCUUGGAGUCAGUCACAUCGACCGAGACUCAUCCAUCGCCCCUUUGGGCUUGGUGUACUUCUCGGCUGAUGGGCCAGCAUCAAUUUUGUCCCUCAGAUAAUGGCAGGGGAAAGGUGGCACCCUUAUGGGUGUGUUAUAGUCCCCUGUVGCAUGUGAGGGAUGGGAUUGAGGAACUCAGCACGCACCUCUUGGUGUCCGGGGCUUUGGCCCACGAUUACGUGCUUAGGAUGCUGGCAUAAUGGCUCUAAACGACCCGUCUUGAAACACGGACCAAGGAGUCUAACAUGCCUGCAAGUGUUCRGGUGGAAAACCCGUGUGCGAAAUGAAAGUGAAAGUUGGGACCUCUGUCGCGGAGGCACCGACGCCCGGACAGACCUUCUGUGACGGAUC
rnacentral:rRNA from 1 species